rnacentral:rRNA from 1 species
GUCGGUGACCAUACUACGUUGAAAGCACCGGUUCUCGUCCGAUCAUCGAAGUUAAGCAACGCUGGGCCUAGUUAGUACUUGCACGGGUGACCGGCUGGGAAUACCGGGUGUUGCCGGCU